UUUAAUGCAAAAAGGAGACUAUCAAGUAUGCUACAUGUCUCAAUAUUAUGCUAAAAGCAUAUAAAUGUAAUUCAACUACUAAACCUAUCUAGUAGUGAUUAACCAUUCUCAACACCGUAUCGAUUUCCAUUUCCAAUUAAGGACCUACCAAAGGUAGUCCAGCUUGUGCCGCCUAAGUGCCUGUGGUAGCCCGACAUUCCUACUCUGGGAAUGUGUCUGUCCCACUCGACCCCGUAGGCUUCUCAAUACCGCACAAGCGAACAUAGGUCGCGUAGGCUAACUCCGGAGUGCCGGCUUGUAGGGAGCGACCCUCACAAGCAUGUGCGAAUGAGCACAAA
rnacentral:lncRNA from 1 species